UGGCGUGUAGCUCAGCGGCCAGAGCGUUUGGUGAAUAGCCAAGAGGUCGCCGGUUCGAGUCCGGUCACGUCAA
rnacentral:tRNA from 1 species